rnacentral:lncRNA from 1 species
GACAAUUUCGAGUUGAAGAGGGUAAUUCUUAAAGAACAAGGUUUUAAGUUAGUCUGGCCGAGAUGAGUGUAAUAAGAAUUCUAAGUGAUGUAGAAAUUNUGGAGUUAAUCUAAGGGCUCAGUUUUGAAGUUCAUAUGAAGAAGUUACUUGAUAGGGAAGGAUAGAGAAGUUGGUGCAUCAAGUGUAGUUAAGAAAACGUGGGAGCAAGUAUUAUGGGAAUCCAGGACAUCUAAUAAACGCAAGUGAAGAAUAGUUGAUGUUGUUCUUUCAUAAAUUUGAGGUGUGAUCAUCAAGGGAGGUUUGUUUGUUUUCAAUCGUUUCUGGGGGUUGUGACCUUCAAAAGAAGUGUUGUGCUUUAAGAAGGAGAACCAAUGGCUAUGCAAUAAAAGUGACUCAAGUUAAAAUGUGAAGACAAAGGGUUGUGAAAGUCAGAAGAGUUUAACGAGGAUAAGCAGAGAAGAGAAGAUGAAUCUUUAUGAUAUAAGGGUUUUGGUUGGUGUUUUGCAACAAGUAUGGGAUUUUAUAUCUUGGAGAAGUGGUGUUCACUUUGGAGCGGUGUCUAAACAGAAUUGAUGUCAGUACUCUUUUUGUGAGUGGUUCUUGUUGAAGUGGUGUAGUGUAAGAGGAAGAUGGAAGUUGGGUUAGAGUAGUAGUGUUGGACUCAGUGUAAUCAUAAGGAGAACUUCAAGGUUGGAGAAUCUCAGAAGAGACAUGGAGGAUAGGUUGGGACAACCUAGUAUGAGUCUUAGAAAUCAAGAGUGAUUUUCUAGCAUGUUCGUUUCGUUGAGUAGAAAACAGUAUUGAGGGAAAUGGAAUAACAAGACUAUCAAGUAAGAGAAGAGUUGUUCAGGGUUUUUGCUAGGUCAUAGAAAUUUUGAAGAAAGUUUUUCAAGGGCGAUCAUUUUCGGGUUGCAAUCGCCAUGAGGAAGUAUUCUUUGAGUCAACUAGUGAACAAAGGAGUUUGAGGGUCAGAGUAGCGCAACAGAUGAUGGUGAGCGUGUUGUUGUCAGUAAUAGGUAUGCACAAAGAACUUUCGUAAUUGUGGAUUGGUGGUUUGUGAGGAAUGAGUUGGGAGUGUUUGGCGAUCUUUAAGAGUCAGAAGUGAGCUUAGGUAUGAAAGAAACAGGUAUCAAGCAGAGAAGAUAAGCGAGUAGACAAUUUCAAGCUGCAGGGUCAACUUUAAAGUAAGGAAAUAUUAAUGGAUUUGGAACAGUAAGAGUGAGUCAGUGAACGAAGGGGAUGAUUGAGCUAUGGUUUUGAGUUAUAGUGGCAAUCUAUAGGUAAGAAAAUACAGCUUGAGCAGAGAGAAGAAGCAGGUUCUUGGUUUGAUAAGGAUUGAAUCAGAGGUGAUUGAAGAAUAUGAAGAUUGGGGUCUCUAGGGAAGCUGUAAAGGGAUUUCAUUAGUAUAAUUGAAUGUUAUAACUAGGGGGUUUCUCAAAAUGGUUGACAAAGCACCAUUUGGACAAUCCUAGUUUGAGAUGUAUCAAAAGUUGGCUUGGUACUGAUCGAGCUAGUGAUCUCAAGUCGAAGAGGUUACAGAUCUAAGCAUGAUUGCAGGCUAGUGAGUCAAGGAUUGCAUAUGGUUCAGGUCAGUAAAAUAACAAGUGAAGCUAGAGUGCUCAAAUUGGUUUUGUUGUUGCAACGAAGUAAAGAUUUAAUUUGGUAAUGGGGUAGUAUAGUUGGAAACUAUGCUACUCAAGAGUUGAGAUCAGUAAGACAAUGUGAAGUCCUCAGUUUGAGUGCGGUGGUAGGUUAUCAAGAGCAUAACAGUUGGUAGUUAAAUCAGAAAUGGUAGUGGUAGUGAUCAAGCCAAAAGUGUGGUGGUUCUUGGAAGGAACAAGAGGAGGUAAGAUAAUAUCAUUCGAGGGUUGAUCUAAAGUGAAGACUAGUGGAAGUUUUAGAAGAGAUUUACAAGAGGGAAAGAAAGAAAGACGAGGGGUUGGAGGAGUGACAAAACCAAUGGGAUUGGUUGCAUGAAAGAAAGGUUCUUAGCACCUGAGGCAUAUAGAUUUAGAUUUGUCUAGAGGCAAAAGGCUAAAUCAAUCUACAAUAUUGAACACUAGAGCAUUUUACCACAAGAGCAUGGUUUUUCAUGUUAGUAAGGUCGUUGGGGAUUAAUAUCUUAGUCAAAAUAGGAGGGUUUACUAGAGGAUGUGAGGAGAGUAGGGUGUUCAUUCUAUCUGUUAAGCGAAUUUUCGAGGACAAAAAUUUUUGUGUUGGGAAGAAUGUAAGGCCCUAGAAAAUGUGUAUAUAUAUAUAUAUAUAUAUAUAUAUAUAUAUAUAUAUAUUAAAUAGAAAAUAAAAGGAUUAAGUUAAGGAAAAAAAGUUUUUCUUUAUUUUAUAAAGCGUAUAAGAUAUGAACUUUACCAAAAACUCUGCUCAUUUCUUCUAAACCACUUUCCCUCUCUAGAAAGUUUUCUCACCAUUUUCUAUGCCUUCUCUGUACCAAAUCUUCCUACUAAACCAUUGUAAUUCCAUUUAGGUGACGUCCACGCGCUCCUAGAGUCGAAAGUUUCGACUUGAACCGAUUAGUUUCAUGUCCUUCAGCGAGUAAGCUAUUCUUCCCUUCUCCUUGCUUUUAGGGUUUUGAUCAUGCAAAGAUUUUUCUUUGCAUGUGAUUAGUAGUUCCUCUUCUCCACUCCCU